rnacentral:rRNA from 1 species
UACGAAGGGAGCUAGCGUUGUUCGGAAUUACUGGGCGUAAAGCGCACGUAGGCGGCUUUUUAAGUCAGGGGUGAAAUCCCGGGGCUCAACCCCGGAACUGCCCUUGAAACUGGGAAGCUAGAAUCUUGGAGAGGCGAGUGGAAUUCCGAGUGUAGAGGUGAAAUUCGUAGAUAUUCGGAAGAACACCAGUGGCGAAGGCGACUCGCUGGACAAGUAUUGACGCUGAGGUGCGAAAGCGUGGGGAGCAAACAGG